rnacentral:pre_miRNA from 1 species
UAACAGUGCAAGAUCAAUCACACACACAAAAGGACAAACACAGUGCGUGUGUUUGUUCUUUUGUGUGUGUGAUUGAUCUUGCGCUGUUAACCUUAUG